AUGUUGCUGCGGUUAAAGGCUCGCAGUUGAAUGUCGGUUAAUAUACGCGAAGUGAUGCCGGGACGUUGCGAGCUUUGCGGCCUCUGCGCAGCAUUGUGAGCCGUCUCUCCAAGUGCAUCUCUGGCGGGCUAACGAUUAGAUUGGCGACGCAGAGUGGGUCUUCUCGCGCACGUUCGUUGUUUCACUUCGGGCGUGUGUGCUCGGCUCGCUCGCACGUGUCGCCGGUUGACACCUUGAGUAAAUCAGAGUGCUUAAAGCAGUCGUUGAAACACUACGGCUGCGAUCUCCACCUCUCGCGAGGCAUAGGAUCGUAUGUCUAUGGUGACGUCGCAAGACGUUUGGACAUUGUCUUUGCUUUGCAUGGUACGUCGGAAGACGCCGUGUGAGUUGGUUGCGCUUACGGUCAGACACACCAGCAGUGUGUGCGCGUGCACCAACGAGCUCGGAAUGAACUGAAAGGGAUGGCUCGAAGGCAUUGGUAUUGCGGGGCGAGAGGUGAAAUUCUAUGACCCCCGCAAGACUUCCCGAAGCGAAAGCGUCUGCCUAGGACGUCUUCAUUAAUCAUGAACGAAAGUUGAAGGAUCGAAGGCGAUCAGAUACCGCCCUAGUUGCAACCGUAAACGAUAUCAACCAUCAAUCCGUCAAAGCGUUCCCUUGCGUCCGCGCGGUCUGGCUUCACGGUCGGCCUCGUGGGCAAAGUGUAAGCGCUUGAUGGGCAGCUCUUCUAUCACGGGAAACCAGAGUGUUUCGGUUCCGGGGGGAGUCUGGUUGCAAAGCUGAAACUUAAAGGAAUUGACGGAAAGGCACCACCAGGCGUGGAGCUUGCGGCUCAAUUUGACUCAACACGGGAAAUCUCACCAGACCCGAACAUCUCUAACGAUUGACAGAUUGAAAGCUCUUUCUUGAUGAAGUGGAUGGUGGUGCAUGGCCGUUCUUAGUUGGUGGAGUGAUCUGUCUGGUUAAUUCCGAUAACGAACGAGACUCUCCCCUGCUAACGGACCUUAGUGUUUUUUUAGACGGUGCGAUUCGGAUAAAGGGACCAUGGGCGUAAGCCCCGGUCUCAGACGACGUCCACUGAUCCUUGGUACGUCGGUGUUCUCUCUGGAGUCUGGGCGCUCGUGUGUGUGCGCGAUGUCUCUCUUGCCAAGGCCCGUGUCAAAGCGGCGUUGCGGUGAGGGCGGGCUCGUCUCAUGCGCGGUGUCUGUCUCUCUCGGGGGGCUCAUUGACAAAGUGCCUCGGAGUACGUUUCUUCUUAGAGGGAUUGACGACUCAUAAGUCGUAAGAAACAGGGAGCAAUAACAGGUCUGUGAUGCCCUUAGAUGUUCUGGGCUGCACGCGUGUUACAAUGCCGGUAUCAACGGGUUCUUACACUCUUAGUGGCCUACUCCGAAAGGAGCGGGUAAACCUUUGAAAUACCAACUGCUGCCGUACUUCUCGUACGGCGCAUUUACGGCAUGCUUGGGACUGGGGAUUGCAAUUAUUCCCCACGAACUAGGAAUGCCUUGUAGUGGCGGGUCACAGAACCCGCUGCGAAUCUGUCCCUGCCCUUUGUACACACCGCCCGUCGCUACUACCGAUUGAGUGUACCAGUGAGAUUUUUGGACUGGCGAACCGCGUGCCUUCACGGGCUCGCGGCGUACGACAAUAAGAGACUCGAACUGGUGCACUAGAGGAA
rnacentral:rRNA from 1 species